CCUACGGGGCGCAGCAGUGGGGAAUAUUGGGCAAUGGGCGCAAGCCUGACCCAGCAACGCCGCGUGAAGGAAGAAGGCUUUCGGGUUGUAAACUUCUUUUGUCAGGGACGAAGCAAGUGACGGUACCUGACGAAUAAGCCACGGCUAACUACGUGCCAGCAGCCGCGGUAAUACGUAGGGGGCAAGCGUUAUCCGGAUUUACUGGGUGUAAAGGGAGCGUAGACGGCAGCGCAAGUCUGAAGUGAAAUGCCGGGGCUUAACCCCGGAACUGCUUUGGAAACUGUGCAGCUAGAGUGCAGGAGAGG
rnacentral:rRNA from 1 species